rnacentral:rRNA from 1 species
UUAGAGUUUGAUCCUGGCUCAGGACGAACGCUGGCGGCGCGCCUAACACAUGCAAGUCGAACGAGCAAAGAGGAGCUUGCUUCUCUGAGCGAGUGGCGAACGGGUGAGUAACGCGUGAGGAACCUGCCUCAGAGAGGGGGACAACAGUUGGAAACGGCUGCUAAUACCGCAUAAGCCCACGGGUCGGCAUCGACCAGAGGGAAAAGGAGUGAUCCGCUUUGAGAUGGCCUCGCGUCCGAUUAGCUAGUUGGUGAGGUAACGGCCCACCAAGGCGACGAUCGGUAGCCGGACUGAGAGGCUGAACGGCCACAUUGGGACUGAGACACGGCCCAGACUCCUACGGGAGGCAGCAGUGGGGAAUAUUGCACAAUGGGGGAAACCCUGAUGCAGCGACGCCGCGUGGAGGAAGAAGGUCUUCGGAUUGUAAACUCCUGUUGUUGAGGAAGAUAAUGACGGUACUCAACAAGGAAGUGACGGCUAACUACGUGCCAGCAGCCGCGGUAAAACGUAGGUCACAAGCGUUGUCCGGAAUUACUGGGUGUAAAGGGAGCGCAGGCGGGAAGACAAGUUGGAAGUGAAAUCCAUGGGCUCAACCCAUGAACUGCUUUCAAAACUGUUUUUCUUGAGUAGUGCAGAGUAGACGGAAUUCCCGGUGUAGCGGUGGAAUGCGUAGAUAUCGGGAGGAACACCAGUGGCGAAGGCGGCCUACUGGGCACCAACUGACGCUGAGGCUCGAAAGUGUGGGUAGCAAACAGGAUUAGAUACCCUGGUAGUCCACACCGUANACGAUGAUUACUAGGUGUUGGAGGAUUGACCCCUUCAGUGCCGCAGUUAACACAAUAAGUAAUCCACCUGGGGAGUACGACCGCAAGGUUGAAACUCAAAGGAAUUGACGGGGGCCCGCACAAGCAGUGGAGUAUGUGGUUUAAUUCGACGCAACGCGAAGAACCUUACCAAGUCUUGACAUCCUGCGACGAUGCUAGAAAUAGUAUUUUCCUUUGGGACGCAGAGACAGGUGGUGCAUGGUUGUCGUCAGCUCGUGUCGUGAGAUGUUGGGUUAAGUCCCGCAACGAGCGCAACCCUUAUGGUCAGUUACUACGCAAGAGGACUCUGGCCAGACUGCCGUUGACAAAACGGAGGAAGGUGGGGAUGACGUCAAAUCAUCAUGCCCUUUAUGACUUGGGCUACACACGUACUACAAUGGCGUUAAACAAAGAGAAGCAAGACCGCGAGGUGGAGCAAAACUCAGAAACAACGUCCCAGUUCGGACUGCAGGCUGCAACUCGCCUGCACGAAGUCGGAAUUGCUAGUAAUCGUGGAUCAGCAUGCCACGGUGAAUACGUUCCCGGGCCAAUGUACACACGCGCCCGUCA